CCGACCUUAGCUCAGUUGGUAGAGCGGAGGACUGUAGUGGGUGUAAAACCUACCAGAUAUCCUUAGGUCGCUGGUUCGAAUCCGGCAGGUCGGA
rnacentral:tRNA from 1 species